AAAUUAUUCAGCUGCUUUUAAACGAGUUUAGUCUAGAGAGUUCUACCUGGGAUAAGAAUAUUUGUAGUGUCUUUAAGAAGUUGUUCGUUGACUAUAAACCAUAUUACCGUGAAGUUUUGUAACCUCCGCACAUAGAUAUAUUAAUAUCUCAUACUAAAAUACUAAAACCAUGUAUCUCAAGUCACUUUAUUUUUAUACCGCUGAUAAAAAAAUCAUCCACUGUUAUUUUAACCAUUUCAAGUACUCUACCGUUAUAAACCAAUUGGUUCAUGCCAAUUUUCAACGUGGAUGUGAUUAUAUAGAAAUUAAUGUCAACUGGCUUACCUCAUAUACUAUGAAUUCCAUCAAGCUAUGGUGUACUCAGCAUCGUUUAGACAUCAAAAAUAAUAUCCAUACUUAUUCUAUACCAGCUUGGGACUAUAGUUUCUUUGAUGUUGACAUAUCAGUUUUAGAAAAUAUAAUGUUUGGAGCUUACCAUUUGGGACUCGAACACAUGUUAUGUAUGGCAAUUAAAUAUAUUAUAUUUAAGAGAACCAGCUUACGUUACCAAUUGCCUUUCAAUACAUCAACGAUGAACUAUGAACACCACUUCCAACUUCUCAAUAAUGAAAAAUGUCAAUGGAAAAAAAACUACCAAAAAUACCAGGAUUUGUCUAAGUUAUUGGAAAAAAUAUUGGCUUUUCCAAUGUCUGAUGAAUUGAAAACUGUUUGCCAAAUUCUACUCAAGUUCGAGUAAGAACCAACAGUAAUCAUCAUCAAUUCAAUUACAGUAAUUACUAAUAAAUGAUACACUGGUGCCGUGUUUUAUACUUUAAGUACAUAACGUCAAAAAUUUUCGAGUACAAGAUUUUGUGAAUAAUGUGAAUUUACUCCCCGGCAAGAACACAUGCAAAAAUCAACACAUAUAUAUUAUAUAUAUAU